GUAUUUGUUUCCUAUGCUGAGUUUUGCUUUUGCCCGGGAAGCCCAUUACCAGCUCUAAUAACAGCAUGGGUUCCAUUGGGGGGGGGGGUGUCCUGUUCCUGCCUUCCUCUAAAUCAGUUAAAUCUGGCCACAAAUCCUCCCUCUGUUUUGAUGCCCCUUGCUAUGGGAUUCUUAGUUAAAGAUUCUAGGUCCAGUGAAUGUUUUGACUAGAGGACAAAGCUCAGGUCCCUUAGAAAGAGUUCACAAUUCAUUUCCUGACUGCUAGCACUGGGCUCCGGCCGAUUCAGUAGUUACCAUGUCUUGGGUCUGCUUGGUGGAUGUCGAAGCCAGAUUUUGAGAGCGUCUAGGAGAUACUCUCCUCUGGUUCCCACCUCUCUGGCUAUGACUUCCUGGGUGACUGCUUGGAGGAAAAGAGGACCACAAGGAGACUGGUGCACAGAAUUCAUGAGCCUGACUGGUACCAACAUCUGAGCGCUCAAAGGUGGCAUUCCAGAGUCAGAGCUGAACCACACAGAAAGCAGACUUGGAAAUUUCACUUACUGAAGGGUCACCAUCAUCUUUUUCUUCAUGGACUGAAUUAUUUCAAGGAUCUUCAUAUCUGUUGGAAUGGGUUGAAUUUCAUCUUAAUAAAAGAUAAAUGAAAUUUUAAA
rnacentral:lncRNA from 1 species